UUUUAAGAGAAAAUGGUUAUAAGUGUUGUCUAAACACUCUUAAUCCAUCUUUAACUCUUAUAAUUAGUCAAAUGCAUUGGAUUGUGACACAUUUUGACCAUCAAAACACUAAAAAAACUGUUUACUGCUUCUAAGCAAUUUUUUGUUGGUUUUAGCCUCUUUUGGGAGAAAAUAGGUAUAAGUGUUGUUUUAACACACCUAAUCUAUCUCUAACUCUUAUAAUUAGUCAAAUGCAUUGGAUUGUGACACAUUUUGACCAUAGAAAUACUAACAAAGCUAUUUACUGCUUUUAAACAAUGUUUUGUUGGUUUUAGCCGCUUGUGGGAGAAAAUGGGUAUAAGUGUUAUCUAAACACUCUUAAUCCAUCUUUAACUCUUAUAAUUAGUCAAAUGGAUUGGAUUAUGACACAUGUUGACAAUCAAAACACUAACAGAACUGUUUACUGCUUCUAAGCAAUUUUUUGUUGGUUUUAGCUUCUUUUGAGAGAAAAUAGGUAUUAGUGUUGUCUAAACACUCCUAAUCCAUCUCUAACUCUUAUAAUUGGUCAAAUGCAUUGGAUUGUGACACAUUUUGACCAUAAAAACACUAACAAAACUGUUUAUUGCUUGUAAGCAAUUUUUUGUUGGUUUUAGCCUCUUUUGGGAGAAAAUGGGUAUAAGUGUUCUCAAAACCCCCCUAAUCAAUCUCUAACUCAUAUAAUCAGUCAAACGCAUUGGAUUGCGAUACAUAUUGAGUUAUUGACCAUUGAAACACUAACAAAGCUAUUUACUGUUUGUAAGCAAUAUUUUGUCAGUUGUAGCUUCUUUUGGGAGAAAUGGGUAUAAGUGUUGUUUAAACACUCCUAAUCUAUCUCUAACUCUUAUAAUUAGUCAAAUGUAUUAGAUUGUGACAUAUUUUGACAAUAGAAACACUAACAAAGCUAUUUACUGUUUCUAAGUAAUUUUUCGUUGGUUUUAGCCUCUUUAGGGAGAAAAUGGGUAUAAGUGUUGUCUACACCCUCCUAAUCCAUCUCUAACUCUUAUACCUAGUUAAAUGCUUUGGAUUAUGACACAUUUUGACCAUAGAAACACUAUAAAAGCUAUUUACUGUUUCUAAGCAAUUUUUUGUAGGUAUUAGCCUAUUUUAAGA
rnacentral:sRNA from 1 species